ensembl:snRNA Gm22005 U4 spliceosomal RNA
AGCUUUGCGCAGUGGCAGUAUUGUAGCCAGUGAGGUUUGUCUGAGGCAUGAUUAUUGCUAAUUGAAAACUUUUCCCAAUACCCUGCCGUGACAACCUGCAGUACAGUCAGCAUUGGCAAUUUCUGACAGUCUCUAUGCAGA